rnacentral:rRNA from 1 species
AUGGGUUUCUUGGGAAACUUGGGUUUUCGAGAUACUCAAAUGUUCAAUGUUUCGAUGCUUGCGAAACAGUCAUGGCGACUCCUACAAAAUUCGGAAUCAUUAAGUGCAGAACUAUUGAAAGCAGUUUACUAUCCAGAUACUGACAUUCUCGAAGCUCCUCUGGGAUCUCACCCAUCCCAGGUUUGGAGAGCAAUUUGUGCUGGAACGGAAGUGUUGAAGCAAGGAAUUGUCAGAAGAAUUGGUAAUGGAAAACAAACAAGUAUUUGGAACCAGAAUUGGAUACCGAGAGAUUACAUGCUGCACGCAUUACAUCCACGAAGCCAAAACCCAUUGGACAAAGUCAGUGAACUGAUUAACCCCUCUGAGAGGCAAUGGGAUAGGGUGAUUCUGCGCGAACAGUUGCAGGAGCCCGAUGUAAAAGCUAUAUUGAACAUGACAUUCCCCUGUGUUCGAUCAGUAUGGCGGAUUCAUGGGCGUGGCAUUAUGAAAAAUCGUGUCAAUUGA